rnacentral:lncRNA from 10 species
ACAAGAGCAGAAUCCACCAUAUUCAUGACACUGCACCAGGAACUGGAGGACAAGGUAGCCAAUUUCUUGCCAUUCUAUUAAGGGAGGAAGAUUUUAAACAAAUAACUACAACAAAAUGUACAGAGUGGCAUGAUCAAAGGAGUACAAGGAGCUAUCAGAGAUGACUAGGAGUUGGCCAGAUGAAGAAAGUGUAGAGGGAAGUGUCUUGAAACCUUUCCCCUGAACAAACCUGAAAGGAACCCUGCCUCCAUCUUCAGCUCUGGAGGUUCAUGCAAGUGGUUUGGAGCUAAUUCAUCCAAAACUGGCAUAGCGAUUCAGGAAUCCAGGUCUAAGACAGUUAGCACUUGCUAGGCCCCUGGACUCCAUUCAUGAAUCGAUCAAGCUCAGGCCAGAGACACAAGAGGGAGAAAUUCUUAGGGUUCUAAGUC